GGAAUAUUGGUCAAUGGGCGAGAGCCUGAACCAGCCAAGUAGCGUGCAGGAUGACGGCCCUAUGGGUUGUAAACUGCUUUUAUCCGGGGAUAAAGUGCACCACGUGUGGUGUUUUGUAGGUACCGCAUGAAUAAGGACCGGCUAAUUCCGUGCCAGCAGCCGCGGUAAUACGGAAGGUCCGGGCGCUAUCCGGAUUUAUUGGGUUUAAAGGGAGCGCAGGCUGGAUUUUAAGCGUGCUGUGAAAUGUACCGGCUCAACCGGUGACGUGCAGCGCGAACUGGAGUCCUUGAGUGAGUACGAGGUAUGCGGAAUUCGUGGUGUAGCGGUGAAAUGCUUAGAUAUCACGAAGAACCCCGAUUGCGAAGGCAGCCAACAAGGCCUUUACUGACGCUAAAGCUCGAAGGUGCGGGUAUCGAACA
rnacentral:rRNA from 1 species